ACGCCAAAUCUUCAUCCAAUCCGGACGAAAAUUUCGCCGGAUUUGGGCGUGGGGAGCGCCAACGAGUGGGGAUGCUCUAAUCCCCAGUUCCCCACCUCCCCGACUCAUCACCACCGGGCCAAAUCCCACGAGUCACCGGCAACCGGUCGACCGACACUGCCGGAGAUCUUUCAUCGGCGACCUGUCCUCCGUCGACACCAGGUAGGCCGACGGCGGUAAGCCACGGCCAACAACUUCCUCGCUGCCCCACCGGAUCCGAAACAAGCGCCGCCGCGGAGUUGGCUAACGCCCUUUCUACCGUUCGGCCGCCGGUACUCUCGCAUCCGUCUUGACCACCACCCCUGCAAGGAAAAACUGGGGCGUUAUUGAGGCCGACGGCCUCAGCUCCUCCGGCCAGGCGGCGGAUGGAUCCGCGAGCCCUGCCUCCGGUGUCUCCCUGGCUGGUUGGAGCGGGCGGGGAGCUCAGAGCGGCGUAGGAACGGCUGGGCGAAUUGACCCAGUCCAUCAAGGCGUAGCGGGUGAGCAUCCGCUCUGUCGCCCAUGGUACCUGCCGACCGGCAGGGAUCCUGCUCUCUCAGUCCGAGAUGAGAAUCCUGGAGGGGAUGUGGCUCAGCAUCCGCGUCGGCAGUGGCGGCCUUGCUAGGUGAGCCCAGGUCCGUGCUGGCCACUGGGGGCGUGCCGAUGCGCGAUGCUGGGUGUGGCUUUGCACGAGGGAGCGACUAGGGGCACGAGACCACGUGAAGGCUGCCAUUGAUUUUUCCAUUUGAUUUUUGUAGUGAUCUGUUUGUUGUAGUCCAUAUCUUGAUUAUUUUUAUUUCCCUCUCAUCUUUCGUGUUGUAUUUAGAGAACCAGAAAAAUGCUGAUCUGGAUCUGCCUGUUGACCAUUUUUGUAGUGUUAGACGGGAAUAAGAGUUGAGGUUGUACUUGAUGUUUAAGAUUGAUGCCCCUCUGUGCGAUGUUUCUCCAUAUUGCUCAAUUUUUGGAUGCACAACCACCGUAAAUCUCUGUCGGUUUUGAUUUUUUACUCAGAUAACUCUGUAUUAACGGACGAUGCAGGCAUUCACAUUUUCAGGCUUGGAUCUGAAGGCUGUUAAUGGCAAUUCAUUUUGCAAGGUAAUACUUGCACAAGUUGAGAACAUAGUUGUCACCUCCAUUAAUUCAUACCUCUUUAUCUUUGUACCUAUUUUGCGCAUACUAUUUGUCCUCUAAUUUGGCAUCAAACGUAGCAUAUCCAGCCUUAGCAAUGAAUAAGAUACUUCAUAUACCUCUUAUCUCUGUACCUAUUCCACCCAUACUAUUUGUCCUCUAAUUAGGCAUCAAACAUAGCAUAUCCAGGCUUAGCAAUGAAUAAGAUACUUCUCUCUAUUUGUCACACUUCACAUAGUGUAAAAACUGCGGUAGACUUUCUAAUGCUUUGAUUGCCAGUUCUUAUUCGUGGAAGAAAUACAAGACUAUCUAAUGUUGCCAUGCAAUUAUCUGUGGUGUUUGGAUUCCGGCGCUAAACCGCGCGGUCUCCAGCCAGCUCAUCUCAUCAUCCGCGCCCGCACCUUCACCACACGGUCGCCGACCAACUGCCCUGCCGGAGAAACUAGGGGCUACGCGCUGGUCGGACUGUGCGGAACCAUCCAUGGCCUCCGGCUCCUUCUGGCCAGCACCAUCUGCCCACUGCAAUCCAUGGCCUUCACCAGUGAAUAUGUUCAUUUAUCUGAAUGUAGCAGUGCAAAUCUCUAAUCAGCUUACGAAUAGUUGGAGCUGUUAAUAAUGUGGAGUAUCAUGCUCCAUGUGUAUCUUUUUUGUUUUCUUCAUCUUAUUAACUGGCUUACCAAGGUCAAGUUGAAUCAUAUGCAUAGUAUUCACCUCUAGGUAGUGGAAUCGUGGAUAUAAGCAUUGCAGAAUUGCUUUGUGCCAUCCACUAAAUAGCGUUUUGCUUUGUUUGUAACAAUUGCAGAGAACAUGCUUGGUGGCUUUAUUUGUAUGAGGUGGUGAAUAUGCACGGCAAAUGUGAAGGCAAAAUCCAUGGAAGAAUAGUGCGAAGUGACGACAUAUCUACCACAGACAAACCAAUGAGCCUAGUUUAUGGUGAAUCAUCCAGUUUAAGAGUUAUUCCAGUUGCAAUUUGCAUGGUCCAUAUGCAUGAUCACUAUUUUUCCUAUUUCAUUGGCAGGUGAAAUGUCCAGUAAAAUGCCCUGUUCAGUUGCAAUUUGCAUGGUCCAUAUGCAUGGAUCAGUAUUUUGUCUAUUUCAUUGGUUGAUCCAACCUAUUUCAAAUAAAUGUCAGGUUGAACGGACGAUUCAGACGUAUUUUCAGCGGUACUUGCUCAUGCUCGUUACUAUGUCCAUUUCUUUGUUCCAGCUAGCAAAUGGCCAAUGGCUCAAAAUGGCGGCAAAGCAAACGUGAAAAAGGAAUCCCAUCUCCACCUCUGUCCAUCUUGUAUGCGUCUCUUUUGACACAGUUAAUCAGAUAAUUCACUCUUGAGAAA